GGUUGUGGCUCAGUGGUAGAAUGCUUACCUAGCAUGUGUGAGGCACUGGGUUCAAUUCUCAGCACCA
rnacentral:tRNA from 1 species